rnacentral:rRNA from 1 species
GUCCACACCGUAAACGAUGGAUACUAGGUGUCCGGCCCUUCGGGGCUGGGUGCCCAAGGGAAACCGAUAAGUAUCCCACCUGGGGAGUACGUCCGCAAGGAUGAAACUCAAAGGAAUUGACGGGGGCCCGCACAAGCGGUGGAGCAUGUGGUUUAAUUCGAUGAUACGCGAGAACCUUACCUGGGCUAGAAUGCCCUCGACCGGCCGUGAAAGCGGUUUUCCCUUCGGGGCGAGGUGCAAGGUGCUGCAUGGUUGUCGU